rnacentral:rRNA from 1 species
UACAGAGGUCUCAAGCGUUGUUCGGAUUCAUUGGGCGUAAAGGGUGUGUAGGUGGCGCGCUAAGUCGGGUGUGAAAUUUCGGAGCUUAACUCCGAAACUGCAUUCGAUACUGGCGUGCUUGAGGACUGGAGAGGAGACUGGAAUUCAUGGUGUAGCAGUGAAAUGCGUAGAUAUCGUAAGGAAGACCAGUGGCGAAGGCGGGGUCUCUGGGACAGUUCCUGACGCUGAGGCACGAAGGUCAGGGGAGCAAACGGG